rnacentral:rRNA from 1 species
GAGUUUGAUUAUGGCUCAGGAUGAACGCUAGCGGGAGGCCUAACACAUGCAAGCCGAGCGGGAUUUGUUGGUUAGCUUGCUAACUAACAAUGAGAGCGGCGUACGGGUGCGUAACACGUGUGCAACCUGCCUUUAUCUGGGGGAUAGCCUUUCGAAAGGAAGAUUAAUACCCCAUAAUAUAUUGAUUGGCAUCAGUUAAUAUUGAAAGCUCCGGCGGAUAGAGAUGGGCACGCGUAAGAUUAGCUAGUUGGUGAGGUAACGGCUCACCAAGGCUGCGAUCUUUAGGGGGCCUGAGAGGGUGAUCCCCCACACUGGUACUGAGACACGGACCAGACUCCUACGGGAGGCAGCAGUGAGGAAUAUUGGACAAUGGGUGAGAGCCUGAUCCAGCCAUCCCGCGUGAAGGACUAAGGACCUAUGGUUUGUAAACUUCUUUUAUACAGGGAUAAACCUACUCUCGUGAGGGAG